rnacentral:rRNA from 1 species
UACGUAGGGUCCAAGCGUUAUCCGGAAUCACUGGGCGUAAAGCGUGCGUAGGCGGGUAUUUAAGUGAGAUGCGAAAUCUUGUGGCUCAACCAUAAGACUGUAUCUCAUACUGGAUACCUAGAGGAUGGCAGAGGCUAGUGGAAUUACGGGUGUAGCAGUGAAAUGCGUAGAGAUCCGUAGGAACACCAAUGGCGAAGGCAGCUAGCUGGGCCAUUUCUGACGCUAAGGCACGAAAGCGUGGGGAGCGAACAGG